rnacentral:lncRNA from 1 species
UCCAAGCCUAGGUCGGUUAAAUCAGAAUGCAAGUCGAGUCCUAGUACAAUAGGGACUCUCGACGAGAUCAAUAAACUAGAAAGUGAAUCCGGCUCAGUUAAGGACUAGAUUCGUAGUCCUAGCGGAGAUAGGACUGAUCGAGGUAAUGUUAAUCCGGAGAAGGAAACCUAGUUCGAAUAGAAUUGGAACUCGGGCUCGGUGUUCUGCUACUAUAAAUACAAGACAUUCAGCAACGGAAGAGACCCCUGCAAAUCAAUACAAAAUUGCCCUGCGCAAAUUCUCACAACUUUGUGAUUUUUCUUUUUCCUUUUUUCGCUGACACAUCUUCCAUUGGCAUCAACAGCACUGUGGAAGCAACCGGUGAUAUCUUAAGUCGGCAUAGAUAGCUCUGUCACCGUAGAGUUAAUCGGUCUCGCAGUAUCUUCCGUUGGCAUCAACAGCACUGCGGCGAGAAUGGUUGAUUACCUAUCCAAGUCUCGGUCAAGAAGGGUUUCUAAAUCCUUAUUGGUCGAGGUCAUCUCAUCAGCCUUCUCGGCGGAGUGAGGUGUUACAGUUAUUACAUUCGGCACAUUGAAAGCCGAAUUUGAUAUUGAACUUCGUAAGAAUAGUAA